rnacentral:rRNA from 11 species
CCGGCGAUUUCCGAAUGGGGAAACCCAGUGUGUUUCGACACACUAUCAUUAACUGAAUCCAUAGGUUAAUGAGGCGAACCGGGGGAACUGAAACAUCUAAGUACCCCGAGGAAAAGAAAUCAACCGAGAUUCCCCCAGUAGCGGCGAGCGAACGGGGAGGAGCCCAGAGCCUGAAUCAGUGUGUGUGUUAGUGGAAGCGUCUGGAAAGGCGCGCGAUACAGGGUGACAGCCCCGUACACAAAAAUGCACAUACUGUGAGCUCGAUGAGUAGGGCGGGACACGUGGUAUCCUGUCUGAAUAUGGGGGGACCAUCCUCCAAGGCUAAAUACUCCUGACUGACCGAUAGUGAACCAGUACCGUGAGGGAAAGGCGAAAAGAACCCCGGCGAGGGGAGUGAAAAAGAACCUGAAACCGUGUACGUACAAGCAGUGGGAGCCUCUUAAUGGGGUGACUGCGUACCUUUUGUAUAAUGGGUCAGCGACUUAUAUUCUGUAGCAAGGUUAACCGAAUAGGGGAGCCGAAGGGAAACCGAGUCUUAACUGGGCGUUAAGUUGCAGGGUAUAGACCCGAAACCCGGUGAUCUAGCCAUGGGCAGGUUGAAGGUUGGGUAACACUAACUGGAGGACCGAACCGACUAAUGUUGAAAAAUUAGCGGAUGACUUGUGGCUGGGGGUGAAAGGCCAAUCAAACCGGGAGAUAGCUGGUUCUCCCCGAAAGCUAUUUAGGUAGCGCCUCGUGAAUUCAUCUCCGGGGGUAGAGCACUGUUUCGGCAAGGGGGUCAUCCCGACUUACCAACCCGAUGCAAACUGCGAAUACCGGAGAAUGUUAUCACGGGAGACACACGGCGGGUGCUAACGUCCGUCGUGAAGAGGGAAACAACCCAGACCGCCAGCUAAGGUCCCAAAGUCAUGGUUAAGUGGGAAACGAUGUGGGAAGGCCCAGACAGCCAGGAUGUUGGCUUAGAAGCAGCCAUCAUUUAAAGAAAGCGUAAUAGCUCACUGGUCGAGUCGGCCUGCGCGGAAGAUGUAACGGGGCUAAACCAUGCACCGAAGCUGCGGCAGCGACACUAUGUGUUGUUGGGUAGGGGAGCGUUCUGUAAGCCUGUGAAGGUGGCCUGUGAGGGUUGCUGGAGGUAUCAGAAGUGCGAAUGCUGACAUAAGUAACGAUAAAGCGGGUGAAAAGCCCGCUCGCCGGAAGACCAAGGGUUCCUGUCCAACGUUAAUCGGGGCAGGGUGAGUCGACCCCUAAGGCGAGGCCGAAAGGCGUAGUCGAUGGGAAACAGGUUAAUAUUCCUGUACUUGGUGUUACUGCGAAGGGGGGACGGAGAAGGCUAUGUUGGCCGGGCGACGGUUGUCCCGGUUUAAGCGUGUAGGCUGGUUUUCCAGGCAAAUCCGGAAAAUCAAGGCUGAGGCGUGAUGACGAGGCACUACGGUGCUGAAGCGACAAAUGCCCUGCUUCCAGGAAAAGCCUCUAAGCAUCAGGUAACAUUAAAUCGUACCCCAAACCGACACAGGUGGUCAGGUAGAGAAUACCAAGGCGCUUGAGAGAACUCGGGUGAAGGAACUAGGCAAAAUGGUGCCGUAACUUCGGGAGAAGGCACGCUGAUAUGUAGGUGAAGCGACUUGCUCGUGGAGCUGAAAUCAGUCGAAGAUACCAGCUGGCUGCAACUGUUUAUUAAAAACACAGCACUGUGCAAACACGAAAGUGGACGUAUACGGUGUGACGCCUGCCCGGUGCCGGAAGGUUAAUUGAUGGGGUUAGCGGCAACGCGAAGCUCUUGAUCGAAGCCCCGGUAAACGGCGGCCGUAACUAUAACGGUCCUAAGGUAGCGAAAUUCCUUGUCGGGUAAGUUCCGACCUGCACGAAUGGCGUAAUGAUGGCCAGGCUGUCUCCACCCGAGACUCAGUGAAAUUGAACUCGCUGUGAAGAUGCAGUGUACCCGCGGCAAGACGGAAAGACCCCGUGAACCUUUACUAUAGCUUGACACUGAACAUUGAGCCUUGAUGUGUAGGAUAGGUGGGAGGCUUUGAAGUGUGGACGCCAGUCUGCAUGGAGCCGACCUUGAAAUACCACCCUUUAAUGUUUGAUGUUCUAACGUGGGCCCCUUACCGGGGUUGCGGACAGUGUCUGGUGGGUAGUUUGACUGGGGCGGUCUCCUCCUAAAGAGUAACGGAGGAGCACGAAGGUUGGCUAAUCCUGGUCGGACAUCAGGAGGUUAGUGCAAUGGCAUAAGCCAGCUUGACUGCGAGCGUGACGGCGCGAGCAGGUGCGAAAGCAGGUCAUAGUGAUCCGGUGGUUCUGAAUGGAAGGGCCAUCGCUCAACGGAUAAAAGGUACUCCGGGGAUAACAGGCUGAUACCGCCCAAGAGUUCAUAUCGACGGCGGUGUUUGGCACCUCGAUGUCGGCUCAUCACAUCCUGGGGCUGAAGUAGGUCCCAAGGGUAUGGCUGUUCGCCAUUUAAAGUGGUACGCGAGCUGGGUUUAGAACGUCGUGAGACAGUUCGGUCCCUAUCUGCCGUGGGCGCUGGAGAACUGAGGGGGGCUGCUCCUAGUACGAGAGGACCGGAGUGGACGCAUCACUGGUGUUCGGGUUGUCAUGCCAAUGGCACUGCCCGGUAGCUAAAUGCGGAAGAGAUAAGUGCUGAAAGCAUCUAAGCACGAAACUUGCCCCGAGAUGAGUUCUCCCUGACCCUUUAAGGGUCCUGAAGGAACGUUGAAGACGACGACGUUGAUAGGCCGGGUGUGUAAGCGCAG